rnacentral:rRNA from 1 species
UGGAGUAACACGUAAAUAAUCUACCCUUCGAGUGGGGAAUAACGUCCGGAAACGGGCGCUAAUACCGCAUAAUGCAGCGGCACCGCAAGGUGACAGUUGUUAAAGAUUUAUUGCUUGAGGAGGAGUUUGCGGCAGAUUAGCUAGUUGGUAAGGUAAUGGCUUACCAAGGCUACGAUCUGUAUCCGGUCUAAGAGGACGGUCGGACACACUGACACUGAAUAACGGGUCAGACUCCUACGGGAGGCAGCAGUCGGGAAUUUUGGGCAAUGGGGGAAACCCUGACCCAGCAACGCCGCGUGAAGGAUGAAGUUUUUCGGAAUGUAAACUUCGAAAGAAUAGGAAGAAUUAAUGACGGUACUAUUUAUAAGUCC